rnacentral:misc_RNA from 1 species
CAGCAUCGCGCCCGGCGCGAGUUGCACAUCGCGCAGGUCUACAACAUCGCCGUCGAACAGAUCACGCAUCAUCGGUUCCAUAGUGAACGACACGGCCUCGCCGCGCCUGCUUCACUUCAACCGAUUCAGGACGAUGCAUCCACCCGAUUCCGGGAUGGCAGUCCGCAAAAACAAGCCGGGCGGAAGCUUGAACUUCCGCCCGGCGGUCACCUGAACCAAAAGGGGUAACUCAUGGCUCAAGCUAUCUCUGAUAGCUCGGCCCCAAGCGCUUAGGC